CCAGACUCCUACGGGAGGCAGCAGUAGGGAAUUUUCGUCAAUGGGCGCAAGCCUGAACGAGCAAUGCCGCGUGAACGAGGAAGGUCUUCGGAUCGUAAAGUUCUGUUGAAGGGGAAAAAGAGCGGAGAGAGGAAAUGGUCUCCGAUUGAUAUUACCCUUCGAGGAAGUCACGGCUAACUACGUGCCAGCAGCCGCGGUAAUACGUAGGUGGCGAGCGUUAUCCGGAAUGAUUGGGCGUAAAGGGUGCGUAGGCGGCCUGCUAAGUCUGGAGUGAAAGGUACCGGCUCAACCGGUAUAGGCUCUGGAAACUGGCGGGCUAGAGAGCAGGAGAGGGCGGUGGAACUCCAUGUGUAGCGGUAAAAUGCGUAGAUAUAUGGAAGAACACCAGUGGCGAAGGCGGCCGCCUGGCCUGUUACUGACGCUGAGGCACGAAAGCGUGGGGAGCAAAUAGGAUUAGAUACCCGAGUA
rnacentral:rRNA from 1 species